rnacentral:pre_miRNA from 1 species
UUAUCGAGAAUGACAAAUCAGAUUUUUUUCUCUGAUUUUCAGCUUUUUCCUCUUGAAAAAAAUUAACCAAUUAAAAAUACUAAAAAUUAAGAGGAAAAGUCUAAUUUGUCAUUCUCGAUGA